rnacentral:rRNA from 1 species
UGGGGAAUAUUGCACAAUGGGCGCAAGCCUGAUGCAGCCAUGCCGCGUGUAUGAAGAAGGCCUUCGGGUUGUAAAGUACUUUCAGCGGGGAGGAAGGGAGUAAAGUUAAUACCUUUGCUCAUUGACGUUACCCGCAGAAGAAGCACCGGCUAACUCCGUGCCAGCAGCCGCGGUAAUACGGAGGGUGCAAGCGUUAAUCGGAAUUACUGGGCGUAAAGCGCACGCAGGCGGUUGGUUAAGGAAGAGGUGAAAUCCCCGGGCUCAACCUGGGAACUGCAUCUGAUACUGGCAAGCUUGAGUCUCGUAGAGGGGGGUAGAAUUCCAGGUGUAGCGGUGAAAUGCGUAGAGAUCUGGAGGAAUACCGGUGGCGAAGGCGGCCCCCUGGACGAAGACUGACGCUCAGGUGCGAAAGCGUGGGGAGCAAACA